rnacentral:hammerhead_ribozyme from 1 species
UUCCAGCUGACGAGUCCCAAAUGGGACGAAACGCGCAUCCUGGAU